rnacentral:rRNA from 1 species
AUUGAACGCUGGCGGCAUGCCUUACACAUGCAAGUCGAACGGUAACGGGCCUUCGGGUGCCGACGAGUGGCGAACGGGUGAGUAAUGUAUCGGAACGUACCUUUCAGUGGGGGAUAACGUAGCGAAAGUUACGCUAAUACCGCAUAUUCUGUGAGCAGGAAAGCAGGGGAUCGCAAGACCUUGCGCUGAUUGAGCGGCCGAUAUCAGAUUAGCUAGUUGGUGAGGUAAAGGCUCACCAAGGCGACGAUCUGUAGCGGGUCUGAGAGGAUGAUCCGCCACACUGGAACUGAGACACGGUCCAGACUCCUACGGGAGGCAGCAGUGGGGAAUUUUGGACAAUGGGGGCAACCCUGAUCCAGCCAUGCCGCGUGAGUGAAGAAGGCCUUCGGGUUGUAAAGCUCUUUCGGCCGGGAAGAAAUCGUAUCAGCUGAUACCUGGUGCGGAUGACGGUACCGGCAUAGGAAGCACCGGCUAACUACGUGCCAGCAGCCGCAGUAAUAC